AGGGGGUAGGUAAAGGGUGGUUUGGUCUUUUUCCACCUCGUUCAUAUCACCCUUUCCCUCUCUCUCUAUUUAGGUCUGUGUAGAGCAGAGAGAGGGAGUUCUUUCUUCUUCUCCUCUCUCUCUAGCUGGGUUCUUGAGCACGGUGGAACUCGGGUGAAGCUUGGAUUCGUCGCCGACGUCGCGUCGUGGAGCCAUUCGAGCACACUUUCGACGUUGUGUUGCUGCGAGAAGGUCGGGCGAGUGUGGCUUUUCGCCAUCCUUGACGUCGUGCUGAUUCUAGGUACAUAUUGGGUAGCGCCCACGAGUGCCACUCCGGAGUCAGGCUUUGUGCUUUCGCGUUGGUGUCGCUCAUGCCAGUUGGACUUGCUCUCCACAGACCAGUUAGUGUGGAGGUAGCUGGACAGUCGCAACGGGGCAGGGACGGGUGUAUUCACAGUCCCAGGGACAGGUAUGUUUACAGUCCCGAUUGGAUUGGGUUAGAUUUGACAUUUCCUACAGUUGAUUAGUGUUGAGCAUGAUAGUGUAGUGAUCGAUAGCGGUAGAGUUUACUUCCUGCUUUUCCGACUACUCUUGCUCCUUUCUGUAGACUCAGUCAGUGGACCGAUGUUGUUUUGGGCGGUACCCACUGAGGACUACUUGUUUUUACAGUAGUUCUCACGCCCAGUUGUUACUCCUGUUUUGCAGAGCCACAGGUUUUGGCUGCUGCGCCUUCCGCGGACCAGGAUCGAGGCAAGGGCAUCGCGAGUUAGAGCCCUACCCGACGAGCUAAGCUAGAGGCACCCCUACUGCAGGUAGAUGUUUUGUCUGAGUUUAUGUACAUAGCUUACUUAACUCGCCAGUGCGAGUAACUCUGUAUUUUGGAUUUGGACAAUGUAUAUGAAACUCAGUUUGUUUAGCUUUUGUUUAUUUGAGCAGCUCUAUGCUACUGUUUGUAGUAUUGUAUAUCUACAGGUACAGCUGUCACUUCGUAUACAGG
rnacentral:lncRNA from 1 species